GUUUUGCUGUCGAUCAACGGAUACAUUUAUAGUUUUGCUUGCAGCAAAACAAAGUAACUUUUAUGUGCGACAUCGAACCACCAAUCCACCUCAGAACCAUGUCCUGUCGACACUCUCACCAAGGACGGUUUUAUAUGAUGUAUGCGGCGUGCGGAGUGAGUGGCAAACGAUACUUCAUCUAAGCUGCUCAUCGUUUUCUUCCUCUACUGCGGUAUCGGAAUCGUAACAUCGUAAAUAUGGCCCCAGCGACCUAUUUCUAUUGUUGCGACAAAUGUCAGCACGCGUCGUACGAAUCAUCGGUGGUAUGCUGCCCGAAGAACAAAGCUGUGAACCCACAGCCCGAUUGCACGAUCAGCACAGUUACAGCACAGCGUAAGGUUCAACAUCUGGGGCUCACGUUGAGCUAACAGCACGGCACCGUCAACGACACGAUCGGUCACCCAACGCCAUGCCCGUCGAAUGAUCCGCCCUCCACCGACCAAUCUGCUGACGCCGAUGGGCGCCCAAUCGCGCAACUCGGAAACAGAAUCUGCCUCAACCCCACGACCGUGACAUUACUAUUAGAUAAUAAAAGUGCGA